AAGAUAAUACAGUAUCAAUUCAAUGAUGAUUACAUUUAUUUAUUAAAAAAAUCAGAUCUCUUUAUCAGGUAACUAAUGGGUAAUAUCAAAACACAUAUGAAUUCAAAUUUUUAGAAAUAUUCCAUUAAAAAAUAAUGAGAUGUGUGAUUUAUCGUUGACAACAUUUCAUUGAAGUAUAAUAGAUUUUCUAGGUGGAUUUCAAUUCAGUAGAGGAUUUCUCUGUUUUCUAUCUGGAUUGUCAGAGUGGAGAAACUUUGAUAUGAUAUGAAGUUUCCAAUAAAAAGGAUUCUGUUCA